CUGUGCUGACGCAAGUAUGUGAUUAUUUGGACUUUUUUCCUCAACAUGCUUACGAUUUAUCAUUUUAAUUCAUGCUCAUUUUUAUUUCAGGUUUUUCUCACAUCUGAUUGUCUUGGUGUGAUGUGGACCAGAAUCUAAUUCUUUGGGGAGCUCGUAUUGUUUUGUUUAUGUGUCCUUCACACCCUGCUGGCAAAACAGAUGAAAGCUUAGAAAAUGUCAGACUUGAACUGUUGAAUGAUGUCAGACAAAGAAACUGCACCGUGUGUAAAAAAGAUGUCACAAACGUUCUCCUACAGAAGAAAAGAGGUAGUGCAGGAAAAUCCAGCUGCCGGAGAGUUUAAAGCCAGGUGGCCUGCACUUUUUCAUAUUUAUGAGAUAAAUGCUGAAUUCCAGCGCAUAACAACAAUCCCACUUGAAACAACCUUCAUGGCUCAGUUGGACAGCCAUUUACCCCAGCUGACAUCUAUUUUCAAGAAGAAGGCAGGUGUUUCUGGCCAGAACCUAGCCAAACAUCUGGCUGUUUUGCAAGAGGCUACAAGUGACAUGCGUAUAUGUCAUCAGCAAGGAAGGUGGAGAAAUUGGACCUUAUGAUGACAUUGGCAUUUAUGUUGAAG